rnacentral:rRNA from 1 species
GACGAACGCUGGCGGCGUGCCUAAUACAUGCAAGUCGAGCGCAGGAAACCGUCUGAACCCUUCGGGGGGACGACGGUGGAAUGAGCGGCGGACGGGUGAGUAACACGUAAAGAACCUGCCCACGGGUCUGGGAUAACCACGAGAAAUCGGGGCUAAUACCGGACGGGUCAUCGGACCGCAUGGUCCGAGGAUGAAAGGCGCUCCGGCGUCGCCCGUGGAUGCCUUUGCGGUGCAUUAGCUAGUUGGUGGGGUAACGGCCCACCAAGGCGACGAUGCAUAGCCGACCUGAGAGGGUGAUCGGCCACACUGGGACUGAGACACGGCCCAGACUCCUACGGGAGGCAGCAGUAGGGAAUCUUCCACAAUGGACGAAAGUCUGAUGGAGCAACGCCGCGUGAACGAUGAAGGCCCUCGGGUCGUAAAGUUCUGUUGUAAGGGAAGAACAAGUGCCGCAGGCAAUGGCGGCACCUUGACGGUACCUUGCGAGAAAGCCACGGCUAACUACGUGCCAGCCGCCGCCGUAA